rnacentral:rRNA from 1 species
AUUGAACGCUGGCGGCAUGCCUUACACAUGCAAGUCGAACGGCAGCACGGGUGCUUGCACCUGGUGGCGAGUGGCGGACGGGUGAGUAAUACAUCGGAACGUACCUUAUCGUGGGGGAUAACGCAGCGAAAGUUGCGCUAAUACCGCAUACGCCCUGAGGGGGAAAGCGGGGGACCGUAAGGCCUCGCGCGAUUAGAGCGGCCGAUGUCUGAUUAGCUUGUUGGGGGGGUAAAAGCUCACCAAGGCGAUGAUCAGUAGCUGGUCUGAGAGGACGGUCAGCCAGACUGGGACGGAGACACGGCCCAGACUCCUGCGGGAGGCAGCAAGGGGGAAUUGUGGACAAUGGGGGCAACCCUGAUCCAGCAAUGCCGCGUGAGUGAAGAAGGCCUUCGGGUUGUAAAGCUCUUUUGUCAGGGAAGAAACACCGGCUCUAACACAGUCCGGGAAUGACGGUACCUGAAGAAUAAGCACCGGCUAACUACGUGCCAGCCGCCACCGUAAGAC